GUUCUUGUAGCGCCAUGAAUAGCGUGUUGGACUUCUAAUUCAAAGGUUAUGGAUUCAAAUACCACCUGGGAUG